rnacentral:rRNA from 1 species
UACCCGCAGCACAAGUGGUGGUCAUUAUGAUUGGGCGUAAAGCGUCCGCAGGUGGCUAUGUAAGUCUGCUGUUAAAGAGUGAGGCUCAACCUCAUAAGAGCAGUGGAAACUACAUGGCUAGAGUGCGUUCGGGGCAGAGGGAAUUCCUGGUGUAGCGGUGAAAUGCGUAGAGAUCAGGAAGAACACCGGUGGCGAAAGCGCUCUGCUAGGCCGCAACUGACACUGAGGGACGAAAGCUAGGGGAGCGAAUGGG